rnacentral:rRNA from 1 species
AUUGAACGCUGGCGGCAGGCUUAACACAUGCAAGUCGAGCGAGUGGCGGACGGGUGAGUAAUGUCUGGGAAACUGCCUGAUGGAGGGGGAUAACUACUGGAAACGGUAGCUAAUACCGCAUACCAUCAGAUGUGCCCAGAUGGGAUUAGCUAGUGGGGGGGGUAAUGGCUCACCUAGGCGACGAUCCCUAGCUGGUAUGAGAGGAUGACCAGCCACACUGGAACUUAGACACGGUCCAGACGCCUACGGGAGGCAGCAGUGGGGAAGAUGGCAAGAUGGGCGCAAGCCUGAUGCAGCCAUGCCGCGGGUGUGAAGAAGGCCUUCGGGUUGUAGAGCACUUUCAGCGAGGAGGCGUUACUCGCAGAAGAAGCACCGGCUAACUCCGUGCCAGCCGCCGCGGUAAUAC